CGGUGUUGUCGGUGGCGGUGGUCGUCACCGCGCUGCUCCUGCCGGCGCGGGCGGCGGCCGGCUCCGCCGGCCACGCCGG
rnacentral:tRNA from 1 species